GGGUGCCACAGUGUGCCCCACUGAGCCGCCACCUGGCACUGUUGGCCUUGGCUGCCAACGCGUGUGGAAGGAGCUCGCGGUGGUGUCCUGGUGGCUGUGUGCUCGGGACAGGCGCGCUUCUCCUGCGGAUUGGGUUUGGGCUUGUUGCUCAGUGGCCUUCCUCCGCGCAGACAUUCCUGCUGCGGAAGAAGACACUGACAAGGGGAAAGCUUGAUUCCUCCACAGCAUGAGGAGGAGAAAGUCUCCCCAGAGAUCAAAAGGGGCACAGAGGCCCCCUGAAAGGGUGAGGGUGAGAGGAGCUGGCAGGAACGUGGAAGAGGCAGAAAUGGAGAGCAGCCAGCUCCCAGGAAACAGCUGCACCUCCUCUCUGGUGGCCCAGGCAGGGCCAGCCAGCUGCAGACGCACUGCUGCAUACUGGGAGGAGCCAAACAUCUUAAGUCUUCUGAGAGAGUCACUGAUCGUGGUUUCCCUCAAGAGACUCUUUGGCACAAGCAUGUCCUCUGUGAAAGAGAUGACCAAAAGGAAGUCUGGGCUCUACAUGCUGCUUUUUCUGAUCUUUCUAUCUGCUCUCAGUGCGUAUUUGCCUGCUGCCAGCAGUACAAACACUAGAUGGGACCUCCAGCGUGCGGGCAGGUGCCGGAGCACCCGCGGGGCCCUUCGCACCUGCCACUUCUGCCGCUUGGGGAGCUCCGGAGACGCUGUUCACACGCAGAUCCCAGCUGGCCUGAGAGCCGACUCAGAGCCGUUUCCCAGCUUUCCCCGUGGACGCUCUGUGUGGGAGCCCCCACAGCUCCGUCGCCUUUGUCCUCUAUUCAGAGUAGUGCUCUGCCCAGCCAGGCCUAUGAGGGGAGGCUGCCUGUCCUGCCAAGCUCGCUGUCAGGCGGGGGAGACGCAGUGGGAGCAAAAAGCCUUUGUGCUUUAUAGUCAGAGUAGGAGACGGCCUGUGUAUGGGAACGUUAGGAUAGCUUCAGGGUCUCCUUUUCUGUCUUCUUUAACCACAUAGGCAGAGUAUUUGCCUCCUUAGAGAAAUGAGCGCUGUUACCUUUUUGGAGGAAUGGCAACGGCUGCCCCGCAAGGGGGCGCUGGGGCAGCAUAGAAAAUGGCUGACGUGUAACGGUCCCCUCUCCCCCCCCCCCCAACCCCCCCCAGGGCCCGUCUUUGUAACUGCAGGGUGUGACGCGGCUGCUCCUGGCCCCGCUCCCCCGCGUCGUUGCCGCUGCCGCCAGAAGGCCUAAUGGCGCCCGGUAGAUAGCUCUUGGCUGACGGGGAAAGCCCUUGCCCUGCUGAGGCCGUUCCUUGCUUCAGGGCAGAACGCGGCCGCACGGGGCUGUGCGUUUCAGAGAAAGAUCCGUUGUUGGUGGUAAAACAGGCUAGAAGUGGCUUCACUGGCUCUUUGUGGCUCUCUGUGCUGUGUGUGACCAUAAAGUCAAGAAGGUAUUAUUAUUUUCAGGGUCUCAGAAUGGAAGUAAACAUUGUCUUUCUUUCCCCCUGUCUGACUGUUAGCUGCUGACCUCCUACCGCAUCCUCACAUGGAGGAUCGUGGCAGCUGUGGCAGCGAUGGAGAGGAGGAGGAGGAGGAGUGCCAUCAGCAGCUAUCAGACCACUCUAAGAAAGGUUAUUACGGACAGCCAUCCAGACACAGAGACACAGAACUGUAGGCUUGCUGGUCUGUGCAAGCAGAAUGCUGUCUGGAGGUUCUCUUCCUUCCCAGCCAAAGUGGAGCAAAGGGUUCAUAUAUGCAGAUGGGGUAUUUCAAAAGCACUGAGUGUGCAUAACUGACCGUGCAGCUGGCCAGGUGGGUUGGAAAAGACCAGCUUGUGCUCAAACAGAAAAAGUGCUGUAGAAAUUCAGUCACGUAUUGAAAUUGCCACAGCCACAAAUAAUAAACAACAGACUCUAGACAAAUGUUGCACUUCCCUUUUUUUUUUUUUUCUUCUUCUGAGCAGCGUUAAGCUGCUGGAGCCUGACUCCGUGAUUGUGCUUACAGCAGUAUGUUGUUCCAGGCCUCCUCUCCUGCUCUUCAGUAAACUGGAAAGCUUCACUGUUGGUGUUAUGUUAGCAGUGUUUUGAAGCCUCGUAAUUUUGUAUUGAAAUUUGCUCUCCUUUAAAAGAAAACCAACACAGAACUACGGAUUGCCUGUAGGACAGUUACAUUUAGAGUAUUGCCUUCUGCAUUUUCUUGCUGUGAGAAACACGCUCGAGAUCAAAAAUUUCCAAUCAGGCAAAGAUGUCUGUGAAGAGCAGUUUAUUCCUUAUUGCAGUAAUGAGCACACGCCCCCUACUGCCAAGGGAGAAAUUGUGCAACUAGACAGUGAAAUCCAUGCCGUUACACACCCUGGGUCCGA